rnacentral:pre_miRNA from 2 species
UGGGUACCAUAGUGUGUUUGCAGUACUACCCCUGUGUGAACACAGCUGGUGGUAUCUGGU